GGCUCCCUCCCUCCCUCGCACACAGCGACUGGAGACGGACCCGGAGCAACGCGCUGGGAAGAGCAGAGACCACCGACAACAGCCCCGCGCUCUCCCACACACGCUCACACUCGGCGCUUUCCUCUCCACCCCCACCUCCUCCUCCUUCCACCCCCUCCACUAACACCAUCUCCUCCUCCUCUCUGCAACAAGAAAAAAAAAGCCAUUUACAGGGGGUGAUGUGCAACUAAUUAAAGGCAGACUGGCAGCGUCUGCAAAUUCUAAGGCUCCCCAAAUAAAAAGAGACUGUUGUAACAGUUGGAGGAUAAUGCAAAGGAAGACGCUGCCUGGGAAUUCACCGUCUGUGGACAUGCGCCCCAGAGAGGACUAAAGCAGCCCUCACCUUGCUCUCCCCACCCGGAUCCCCCUU